CACUAGGAGUUAGGGAACAAAGUGUUGGGAGGAAAACAAACAAGUUUCCUUGGAGAAAUUCCGUUCUGCACAUUGCCAAACAGAUCCUUCGUUACGGGGACCGCCCAGAUUGAUUCAUUUUUCCACUUGACAUAACAGGCCACUGCUGGAGUGCCACUUACAUGAACGAACUGGAAGUGACGCAAGUGCAAAUACGAAGCCUAACAGAUAUUCCCUGCAAGCACUGAAAGAGAAAACGCUGCUGAACAUCUUAGGACUUCAGAGAGAAACAGAAAGCAGAGGCAACACAGCAUGCCCGGUCUGAGCUGCGUGGCUGCUCAUUUAGUAAGGUUCAGGUCGGCUCUCCGAAAGGGCACCAUAAAUGACCUGUCACUACCGUAAGAUCUGUUCGGUGGAGACCUUAGGAGCCCCAGUUUUCCAGCAGUCUCUAGGGCUGGUAGCAGAACAGACUCUUUCUAAUGCAGAGGAGGAAGGGUUAAAGAACAAGCAAUCGCUAUGGCAAUCCCACAGCUGGGAGGCUGGUGGGUCUGCAGAGGGGUAUAAAAGGGAGCAGGGGAAGAGAAGCAAGUGCUUUGGCCUUUUGUAGAGGGACAGAAGCUGCUGCAGCCCACCAGCCAAGGGCAGCGUUUCUGCAGGCACAAGCUCCCCUGCUCUGUGAGGAAGGCAGCUGCUUCGUGUGAUGAGGACGCAGCUCGGACUCAAGGCCAUCACCUUGACAUCUGCACCCACAGCAAACAUCCUGUUCCCCUUCCCCUCGCAGUAAGAGCACAAUGUAAGACAUGAAUUCUGGCCUGCUCUUUCAGGCGGAGCAGCUUUUUCCCAGCUCCUCAGCCCAUUCCCUGCGGCGCCCUUCAAAGCUGUUUCCUGAGUGCGGCUAACCUUCCUGCACCGCUAACAUCAUCCCUUCUGAGGUCUUUCUUCGGUUCUUCCAGCAAUGAGAAAAUGUAAGGAAAUCUUGCUGACUGCGCUUCUUUGAAAUGAGUAGU